AUAACAUUCAGAAAAGAAUGUGCACGAUAUUUUGUGGUAGGAUUUAGUGAUAACAAUAUGAACGUCCUUGGAAUCGUCAUCAAGAUUCAUAAAUGGCCUGUGGGCCGCGGUGAGUCCCCUGACGCUCCUGGCCCUGUCUCAUCUGACCCGCCCUGUAGGUGACCACUGUCCUCACUCGUUCUUCUUCACACCUUACCAUCCACCAACCAAUGUUCUUCGUUUUACCUCCUUUGACAUUUCCACAAAUGAGUAUUAAUGGAAUUGCAUUGAAAAGUAUUCACACGUGCUGGCGCCGGAUGCCUGGGGCCUGCCCUGGGGCUGUGGGGUUCAAACCUCCCACCGCAGCCAGGCGCCCGGAGCCCACCGGACCCUUUAAAGACCCCAGCGAGCGGGGACGGGGGCGGGGGUCUCCCCGCUGGAGAUGGUCAAAGAUCAAACGGAGCCAGGCUCAUUGUGACAUAUGGUGAGGUCCCUUUGAAGUGUCUGUGUGCGCAAGGAAGGGUCACAGUUCCGGGCUUGGCCUCCGGCCUCAUGGUUCAAUGCAGCGUCCUUGCAGAGGACAGGUUCUGGCCUGCGGCCAAGGCAAGGUCGGCUCAAAGAUGCGCCCCCGGCCUGCUGUCACUCAGGCACAAGGGGGCGGGGCCUUGUGAACUGUCCAAUCAGGGGAGUCGCCGGAAACGUACGUGGGGGCGAUAACUGCGUGGACGGCGUGCUGGGCCGUGGUCGCUCCGGGAUCGCCUGUCGCUGCCUUCGGUGGCCGAGCCACGUCGUCUGUCGCUGUGAGCUGCACUGGCCGCGGCAGUCGGAGAGUGGACGUCCUGGGACCCCAGAAACCGGAAAAUGCCCCCCAGUGCACAGUUGUAUAUUCUAGUUGUGAGUACUUCUGGUUGUGCUAUGUGGGAUGCCGCCUCAGCAUGACCUGAUGAGCAGUGCCAUCCCACACCCGGGAUCCGAACCAGUGAAACUCUGGGCUGCUGAAGUGGAGCACAUGAACUUAACCACUCGGCCAUGGGGCUGUCCGCUCUUUCAUUUCUGAUUUUAUUUGACUUCUAUCUUUUUCUUGG
rnacentral:lncRNA from 1 species